rnacentral:rRNA from 1 species
GAUGAACGCUAGCUACAGGCUUAACACAUGCAAGUCGAGGGGCAGCAUGGUCUUAGCUUGCUAAGGCCGAUGGCGACCGGCGCACGGGUGAGUAACACGUAUCCAACCUGCCGUCUACUCUUGGACAGCCUUCUGAAAGGAAGAUUAAUACAAGAUGGCAUCAUGAGUCCGCAUGUUCACAUGAUUAAAGGUAUUCCGGUAGACGAUGGGGAUGCGUUCCAUUAGAUAGUAGGCGGGGUAACGGCCCACCUAGUCUUCGAUGGAUAGGGGUUCUGAGAGGAAGGUCCCCCACAUUGGAACUGAGACACGGUCCUAACUCCUACGGGAGGCAGCAGUGAGGAAUAUUGGUCAAUGGGCGAGAGCCUGAACCAGCCAAGUAGCGUGAAGGAUGACUGCCCUAUGGGUUGUAAACUUCUUUUAUAAAGGAAUAAAGUCGGGUAUGGAUACCCGUUUGCAUGUACUUUAUGAAUAAGGAUCGGCUAACUCCGUGCCAGCAGCCGCGGUAAUACGGAGGAUCCGAGCGUUAUCCGGAUAUAUUGGGUUUAAAGGGAGCGUAGAUGGAUGUUUAAGUCAGUUGUGAAAGUUUGCGGCUCAACCGUAAAAUUGCAGUUGAUACUGGAUAUCUUGAGUGCAGUUGAGGCAGGCGGAAUUCGUGGUGUAGCGGUGAAAUGCUUAGAUAUCACGAAGAACUCCGAUUGCGAAGGCAGCCUGCUAAGCUGCAACUGACAUUGAGGCUCGAAAGUGUGGGUAUCAAACAGG